rnacentral:rRNA from 1 species
GACGAACGCUGGCGGCGUGCUUAACACAUGCAAGUCGAACGGGCCCGCUCUCUUUUUUGGGGGUGGGUUGAGUGGCGAACGGGUGAGUAUCACGUGAGUAACCUGCCCCCUGCUCCUGGAUAACUGCUUGAAAGGGCGGCUAAUACGGGGUGUGCCGGCUGGUCCGCAUGGGCCUGGUCGGGAUAGUUUCAUCUUCGGGUGUUUCGGUGGGGGAUGGGCUCGCGGCCUAUCAGCUUGUUGGGGGGGUGAUGGCCCACCAAGGCGGUGACGGGUAGCCGGCCUGAGAGGGUGGGCGGCCAGACUGGGACUGAGACACGGCCCAGACUCCUGCGGGAGGCAGCAGUGGGGGGUAUUGCACAAUGGACGGAAGCCUGAUGCAGCGACGUCGCGUGAGGGAUGGAGGCCUUCGGGUUGUGAACCUCUUUCUCCGGUGGUGAAGGCCCUGUCCGUUGCGGCGGGGUUGACGGUAGCCGGGUAUGAAGCGCCGGCUAACUACGUG